AGUGAACGCUGGCGGUAGGCCUAACACAUGCAAGUCGAACGGCAGCACAGUAAGAGCUUGCUCUUACGGGUGGCGAGUGGCGGACGGGUGAGGAAUACAUCGGAAUCUACUUUUUCGUGGGGGAUAACGUAGGGAAACUUACGCUAAUACCGCAUACGACCUCCGGGUGAAAGCAGGGGAUCUUCGGACUUUGCGCGAUUGAAUGAGCCGAUGUCGGAUUAGCUAGUUGGCGGGGUAAAGGCCCACCAAGGCGACGAUCCGUAGCUGGUCUGAGAGGAUGAUCAGCCACACUGGAACUGAGACACGGUCCAGACUCCUACGGGAGGCAGCAGUGGGGAAUAUUGGACAAUGGGCGCAAGCCUGAUCCAGCCAUACCGCGUGGGUGAAGAAGGCCUUCGGGUUGUAAAGCCCUUUUGUUGGGAAAGAAAAGCAGCAGGUUAAUACCCCGCUGUUCUGACGGUACCCAAAGAAUAAGCACCGGCUAACUUCGUG
rnacentral:rRNA from 1 species